GUCGUCCAGGUCGUCUCCCUAAUCGCGAUUAAUCGUCUGGUCGCCUAGUGAGGACGACUAGAUGACGAGACGACAUGAAAUCAUUGGUCUAGACAAAAUGCGUCUGUGAGAAGUCGCAAACAUGUUAUGUUUGUACUUUGUUCCUGUUGUAACCGUCAUCAGAGACGCGUAUAGAUAAUACAUGACUGUGAUGACUUUUUUCAUAGACGCGUUAAGUGUCUCUAAUAACAAUAGUGGCGUAGCUAGGAUUUUAUCAUGAGGUAUAUCAUAACAAAAAUUUCCAUAAAUAAUUUGGUAUACAAUUUUUUUCUCGAAUGCACAAAACAAUUGUACAUCAUUAUAUUAAGAAGAAAAGGAGUUUAGUCCAAAAUGGAUAGGAACAAAACAACAUACGAAACAACACAUGAACCAAAUUCGGUAUACAAUUUAGAAUAUAAAGAUAAGAAUAGCAUACGAAAAUAUAGAUUUAACAUUUAACUUCAUAAAUACAUACAUUAGAAUACAAAUAGAAUAUAUAUCAGUUUUAUUUCUAGGCUUUAGUGGACUGGUGGUCCGGUGGACCUGCUUAGGGCCAUCCCGAACCACCCGCGGGCUACGCCACUAGAUAACAAGUUACCAUAGACAUGUGUUGCGGUUAAUCCAGACCUGUUAUGGCCUUAUGUGAGAUACGUCAUACCUACGUCUUUAAUCUCUACUAAUAUAAAAGCGAGAUUUUCUCCCUUCGUGUGUCUCCCUUACACAUCGGCUAGCUACCACCACGACUCCCUUCCACCGCAAAAAUUUAAAAAAUGAAGCGCGGGGCGGAUGUCCAAGUAGCAAGUAUUGGGAUCUAACCACUAGAGUUCAUUACCAUUUGUGAUAUAAAAAGAAUAAAUAUUGUAAAUAUUAUAUUAUACAAAGUAUAGAUAUUGUAAAUAUAUGUAUACUAAUAAUUUAGAAAUAAAAAAUAAUCAUGUCACACUAAGUCGGCUCUGUGGGCUAAGAAGGCGGCCCUAGCACCGCCCAGUUCUCAGAUCGAAACGACACAGGUCCACUUUGAAUCUUGGCGGGCUAGUUUAUGCCACUAUUAAAUUGGUCGUGCCUCGGACCGGCCCGCCAGACACGACUCGUUUCGUCAUCUAUAGUCCAGUACAUCCAUCCUCAUAGUUUCUGAUCUCGUGAGCCUGGAAAAAAAGCAAGAGAAAAAACUUUAUCACGUCUCACCCCCACACCAUAUACCUCGCCACACGUCUCUGCCUCUCUCCUCACCAUAUCGUCGUCCGUCGUCUCAAGGGCAAAAUCGUAGGUGUACCAUGAGGUGUAGCCCACUCCGUGUGAUCCAAACCGUGGAGCACGCAUUUAGAUCCGCGUGAGGCGAACUACUGCAUCCUGCCGCACGCGAUAGGGAUCAAGACAAUAAUUCAGAAAAUCCUUGUCGGCUAGGUACCGAAGGGAAUAAGUAUGUCACCGAAGGGAAUUAAUAAUUCUCGUCAGUAUUAGGCUAAUUCUUUCCGAUACAUGGCUAAUGAGGAGUGGUAUUAGUGAUUAAUUAAUUCCCGUCAACCACCAAAGAGAAUUAAUUAAUACUCGUCGGUCAUGUGUAGUCGACAUUUAACACUAGACUGCGCAAACUCCUGUCGGUCCCGCCCUUGGAUGACCUGGAUUAUAAGUACGUAGAUAUUGCUUGUGGCCAACGGCAAUUAAGACAUUAUCCCCGUCGGCUUAGAUAGCUGACGGGAAUUACCCCACGAUCAAUAACUCUCGUUGGCUAUGGUCAAGCCGACGGGAGUUAUCCUAUGUUGUUGCAAACCAGUAGCCUAUUUUACUAAUUUCUCAUCUAACCACACAAACAACAAGCUUAUAUUGUAUAUCAAUUCCCAUACAUCACAAACACCAUUCACAAUUCACAUACAUCACAUCAUCAAAUACUUCACAUUACAAAUUCUUCAAACAAACACAUAGAAGCACAUAUUCAUUUCAAAUCACAACAACGAGACAAGUUAAAUAUUUUGUUCACCAAAGCACAUAAAAUUUAGUUUAACACACACCAUUCAUCAUCCAUAACCAAAGACAAACCACAAGUCCAAAUAUAAAAAAAUAGCAUACAAUGGUUUAGGGACAACCACUUGGAUGGUUCGAGCUUUGGUCACUGCCACCACCAGGAGGAGGGUACACAAAGAGGGACUCAACAAAAGUCGAUCCAGCUGGUUCAGUUACACUCCCACCCAUUCCUAGUGUAGCCUAUGUAAGAAUGCAAAUAUCAACAAGUUAAGUAUACAAAUGUAUCAAAUCAUAAGAAUAUUUCGAGAGUUACAAAACGUAUCUGGUCUUCAGUUGCAGGUAUAUAUGUGGGGGUGAUGAUUGUUGCAUCCCCGAUCCCUAUUUAAUCGACAUUUGAUUAAGUUUAGAUACAAUUCAUGUGUUGCUAUAAUAACUAGAUGAAAUUAUACAUUAGACAAUGUUAUAAUAGAAUUUGCUAAAGAUUACCAUAUUUUACCAAUUUCUCAUACAAUUCACACAAACAACAAGAAUAUAAUGUAUAUCCAUCCACAUGCAUCACAAACACCAUUCACAACUCACUUACAUCACAUCAUCAAAUACUUCACAUUACAAAUUCCUCAAACAAACACAUAGAAACACAUAUUCAUUUUGUCGGUGUUUUGGACCAGGGGUCCUCAACCAACUAGUGAAACGAUAUUGCGUGCCCUAGACCCAGAUGGUGAUUUGAGUUGACACAAGCGAUUUAUCCUGGUUUGGACUACGAGAGGCCAUACUUCCAGCAGAGGUGGGAUGAUGCUUAUAUUACUCACACAAAAGUGCUCGUGGUAGGGGUUACAAGCAUAGCGGGAGAGGGGUGGAUCCUAAGUCCCAGCUGGUGAUUGAGGCAAGUCCCAAUACCAGGUAGGGGAGAAGAAUGAUCAAGUGUUCGCCUGCCUUGUGUCUCCCUGUUCCUUGUGGAGCCGUGAACUAUCCUAUUUAUAAGCUCGGGGAGAGUUGCCUUGUAGAUGGGAGCCAACUACAUGCUGUGAAGGGGUGUCUUCAUAACCUAUAGACAAUAUGGCCUUGUACUUUGCCGUUGACUUGGGCUUGCUUGUUUUCUGCUGAGAGCAGAGGCCGAGGCUGAGGGCUUGGUCACGUACCCGAGCCCCCUGGCGUGGGAUUUCCCAUACCGUAGUGGUUGACAUAGUGCCUGUCAUGGGAAAAAGCUUCUUAUGGGAUGCGUCAGCUCUACUAUUUCUGAUGAUGUUGGGAAGUCCUCUGCCAUAGGUAUCGAGGGAAGAACUGAGCUCGGGCAAGGCGGAGGUCCGUCUGAGGUUGCGACCGAGUCUUGUCUUGAGAUUUGAUGACGUGUGCCACACUCGAUGGAGUGGCCUUCCACGGGAUUCACAGGGGACAGGUAGCCGAGGCUGGGUUCGAGCGAGGCGGAGCCUACGCCCAAGGUCGAGUUCUGUAUUGGGCGAGGCGAAACUUGCGCCCGAGGUCUUGGUCCGCAUCAUGUCAUAUUACGCGUCCCAUCAAGGGUUAUCAAGCGGCAUGCACAUGCGUAAUGAUGUUGGUGAAUCUUUGAUAAGACCGCGGUCCUGUUGAACGAUUCGCCUGUAGCCCAACGUGAGGUAGGUGUCCGCAUUGAAUGCGGUUGUCUCCCAACGGCCCUCGGGAAAGUUUUGUCUUUAUCGCCUAAGGCGGGCACGGACAAGGUGGACAUGGCUGCCCUAGGAUGAGGGAGCCUCAGCCGGGACGAAGAUUCUCCCGAGCUUACAUCUCGCCCGAGACAGGCCUCGGGCGAGGCGGAGUUUUGGGAAGACCCCUGAGGGGAACCUCAGGGGAGACAGAGUUUUGGUUCCUUAUUCUAGGAGGACAUACCUUGAUAGAGUCCUUAGGAUUUUAGGUGCGUUUUAGGGGCCUAAUCUGGGUACCCCUAAUUAUCGUACCCGACAGUAGCCCCCGAGCCUUCCAAAGAAGUGUUUCGACACUUGUUUAGAGGUUCUUCUGUUCUUUGUGCGAGUACACUAUCUUUUCCUAAGGAGUGGAAGAUUUUUUACUUAUGGGUGCACGCGAGCGCACCUGUCGGUUGUAGCCCCCGAGGCCCUGAAGGAGUAGUUGACUCCUUCAGGGUCUUUGUUUUUACCUCUAUAGGCAUGGUGGACUCUGUUUGUCACCUGCCACAGCCUAGGCGCGAAGGGAGCCCCCGAGCAUUCUAUGUCAUUUUGUAGGAGUUUCCAACAAAUUUGCCACAUCAUGGGUUGCAAGGGUAGUCCCAAGCCUUUGCGUGGGUCUAGAGGACGAUCGGUGGGCGCCUUGACUUUUUUGGUUAUACGCCUCUUUGUCGCCUCUCCGGAAAGAGGAAGAGGGGGACGACGCGAUGCUGCUCUCGGUGGGCAACGAGCAUGACGUCUCCAGUGAGCUGCUAACGGGUAACCCGAGCGAAGGCCCGAUCUCCGUUUGAUAGGAGUCGACUAGUGGUCCAGAGACGUGCCCCAAAAGUACCUGUGGGUGAUUCGCCUGGUCCCGAUCCCAUUUGAUGGGGUCCAAGGGCUCGAUUGCCUCCCCCCGAUGGGAUACCAUCACGAAUCUCUCUCAAGGGUCUCGGAUAUGUCUUAGGGUAUCUCGGGAUCAUAGCCUGAGCCUUUGAUGUUUACGAACAUACCCAUAGUCAUCCCUGACUAUGUUCUGGGGCGAUUGUGAUAUCCUUCCGAGGGGCGAACCUUCGAACCACUGAUCAAUAACGGGCCUAGAGCCCAUGUGUUCUAGGGCAAUCUCCCGAGCCUUACCGGGGGCUUGACCUUCUAACCCCUAAGCAGUAGGUGAGGUCUCUCCUCUUCUUUCUCGAGGAAGGAAGCCCGAGGUGGAGACACCCUCUUCUGCUACCUGCAAAGUGGAAAAGGAGGCACAUGAGAGAGUGGGAGAGGGGUGCAUCUUUUGAUGCGUUAUGUGAAGCGGUGCUAGCUGGCUGACGUCAGGAAGAGUGGGUAUUUAAUGCAACGGGAAGCUUCGGCCCGUAGGCCGAUCGUUGCGGCACGCGUGCACGUGGAUUUCGAAGCGACCUAGCCCAUUCCUGGUUUGGACUCAGGAUGGCUCAGCCCACGCCUCGGUGAUUCUGCUCGCCCCUAUAAAUUCACCCGAGAGGGGCUCUUCGGUUCUUUACUUCCCUCUCUUGCUUUCCUACCCUAGCCUCCUUCUGCCUUAGCCGCAAAAAACUCAUGCGCUCUUCUCCCAUCUUCUUCGUUAGCUACGAUGGCUAAGAAGUUGAGCGUUCUCCCUCCUUGCGACCCAUGGCUCAUUUCCUCAGUUACCGACGAGGAUCUAGAGGCGUUGGUGGAUGUCGGGCUACUUCGCCCCCGCUCCCAUGGCCUGCAGCCCAAGUGGAAUGCGCCGGGCGACAUCGCUUUCCACGAGCGGGGGUUCUGGGUGCCAGCGAGUCGCUUCAUGUGGGCGCUCCUACACUACUACGGGGUGGAGCUCCACAAAUUCAACCCUAGCUCCACCUCUUCCACACAGAGGCGUUCUCCCUCUCCUCCAACGUGAAGAAGGUGCGCCACAUGGCUCGGGCUGGUGGCUGCAUGCUCCUGCCGCGCUCAGAUCGAGCGUAACUGUACAUCCCUGCCAUCCUCACCUCAUCAAACAAGGGGUGGCAGAGUUGAUGGUUCUACCUCCCCAACGACGAUGGGCGGCUGCCGGCAUAUACGCAGCGUGUUGUCUUUGCGAUGGCAGAACACUGGCGGUGGGGCUCCCCUCGAGAGCUUCAGGCCCAGCUGAACCCGCUGUUGGACGCCUUGCGUAGGCUCCAGGAGCGUGGUCUUACUAUGGCCGGGGUCGUCAUCGCUUUCUACUGGAGGAGGGUAUUGCCGCUGACCGAGUGUCGGCUUCGUCUGGAUGAGAUGACGUCGGAUGCCUCUGUCGAAAGCUCUCGGAUGGCCUCGGCCACCCUCUCCACCAAUGAACUCCUCCGGUGGGUGAAAGGGGCGGUGGGGAGGACUACACCACUCCCGUCCUGAUGUGCCCCGACCAAAGCUACGUGUCCCUAGUGAGUUUUUGCUCUUUUCCUUCAGUUUCUAGCCAUUUCCUUCUCGUCUCAUCCCUUCUAUCCCUUUUGCAGGGAUUGCGGGACUAUCGAACCGCCUGACCCCGGUUCUGGAGGACGCGACUGGUAGGGCGGUGCGUUGCUUGGCUAUCGAGGAGAAGAAGAAAGAUGCAGACAAGAAGUGGGCCCAUAAAAAGAUGCUAGCCCACGACACAUUGGAGAAGUGCCGCAUGGCACAGGCAAGGGAGGGGAUGCUACGGGAGGCCUCUCCCAGCAUAGAGUAUGAUGAUGACGAUGAUGACAAUGAGGGCAUGGAGGUCCGACUGGGCUUCAGCCUCGAGGCUGAACUUUGGUCUGCGUUAGCCUCGGCAGGCCCAUUCAUUGGCGCAGACGUACCCACGCAGGGGCUGACAGCGUCCCUAUCCGAGGCGCGGACGUCAGCCAAGUCGGACCCCAUCCUCAUAGCCAUAGAUGAGGCAUGGGCCAUGGAGGAGAGACCGCUACCCUGCCUCAGGUGCCUGCCAUGGGGAUCGUGGAGGAAAAAGUCAUCGUACCGCUCCAAGUGCCCACCACGGGGCAAAGGGGCCCAAGGAGCCGGAAGCCGAGGGUGGACGUGGAUGUCGUACCUCGGUCCGGGCACUAAGCGCCGAGCCCACAAGCCGACCUUAACCGCUACCAAUGCGGUGAAGCGCAACAUUAGGACGUCGACCAGGGCCACAUCCCGCUCCCACGUGUGGCUCGACGCUGCCAAGGAAAGGAGGCCAUCCAACAGGGUGCCGAAGCGACCCGGAUUGUCCUCAGUGGGUAGGCCGGGUAGGAUGCUACUGUCGCAGAGGCGGCCAUGGCCCCUCCGGCGCCACUGGUCGAGGCCAUCCUAGUGAUCUCUACCGAGGAGGCGGCGGGGGUGGCAGACGCAACGUCGACCAUGGCAUCGCCCACCGUCUCGGACCUCCUACGCGGCAUCCCCGACACCCCAGAUGCCACCCGGAGCCCCGAGGCGGCUAACUUCGAGGGGGCCCAGUCCCUCGAGGCGACCUGGGGAAUCAGUCGAGGAGCAUAUCAUCCCACCCCCAUCAUCGGGGUGGGUGGUGACCUUGUUCGCGCUGGACUAUACCUCUCGACGUGGGAAGGGCCGACCCUGACAUAGAUGGCACUGAGGGCAACCCCUACUUGGUCCUCGAUGACGCAAAGGAGAAGUAGAUGUGGUCAGAAUUCCGAACAAUAGAUCGGGGGCUUAUGCGAAGUCCGCGACCAAGUCGAUUUUCAUUCAUCGUGAGCGCGACGUCUGGGCCGUGUUGCAACACCAUCAGGCCAUGUUGUGUCGUUCAAACGAACAACUGGCUUUGAAGAGUGUCGAGGCGAUGGACCUAUUGUCACUAUGCGCGGAAUUAAAGGACGAGGUCGUGGCCACAUGCGGGAGGGUGGUGCCACUACAAGAGGAGGUGCGACUGCUGAAUGAGAGAGUGGCGCUGCUGGAUCAGGAGGCGAUGAAGUCGCUGAGGGAGAGGGUGGUCCCGCUGGAGGAGGAGGUGCGACGACUGAAGGAAAGUCUUCUAGCGGUGGCCGGUGAACGAGAUGAGUCUCGGCGCCAAGCCAUCGAUGCCUUUCUCCGUGCUGACUCCCUUGCGAGGGAUCUGGAGACCGAGCGAUCUGCCCAAAGCCUAAGGGCCUAGAUGGAAGAAGGAUUUGGACAUCUCCAUCCAGACCUCUAAGACGCUCUCCCAGGCCGUGGACCAAAUAAUGGCCGAGCUGAAGGAGUUGUCCGACCUUGGUGCCGUGGAUGUCCCCUCAGGUGAGUGCUCGCAGAGCCAUACGCAAGCCCUGAGUGGCUACGUGCAGAGUGAACUCUGCGAGGAAAUCCACCUCAGGGUGAAGCGGGCGUUGGCCGUAGCCGCCUCCCAUUACGAGAUCAAUCUUGAGCGGGUGUGCGAAGGUUACAUUCUGCUAGACGAGCGUGACCUCGUCGAGGCCAAGAUGUAGAGGCUCACCAAUGUUGUUGAGGGGCCGGGCUCGACGUUGGCGUCCCACUUUAGGCCUUGUUCGGUUAUUCCAUGUGUAUUGGAGUGUAUUGGGAUGUAUUUUGACUUGCUAUGGAUUUAAACCGACUCAAUACCACUCAAUCCACAUGGAUUAACGGUGAAACGAACAAUGAGGUGGUUCCGCCGGUGUUGUCCCCUUUUGCCGGGUCUUAGGCCCUGUUCCAAUCUCGCGAGAUAAACUUUAGCAGCUAUUUUUUAGCUACUUUUAGCCAUUUAUAAUCUAAACAUGAGAGCUAAUGGUGAUAAUUGAAACUAAACUUUAGCACUUCAAUUCAUAUAGCUAAAGUUUAGCAGGAA